GACAGAGGUGCCGAGCGUUAGGCGGAAUCACUGGGCUUAAAGCGUGUGUAGGCGGGCGGGCAAGUACCUUGUGAAAUCCCACGGCUCAACCGUGGAACGGCUGGGGUAUACUGCCUGUCUUGAGCCAACUAGGGGCGAGCGGAACAGACGGUGGAGCGGUGAAAUGCGUAGAUAUCGUCUGGAACGCCAAAGGUGAAAACAGCUCGCUGGGGUUGUGCUGACGCUGAGACACGAAAGCCAGGGGAGCGAACGGG
rnacentral:rRNA from 1 species